AGCUGCUUGGCCCUGGGUGUCAUCAGCGUCAUCCGGAUCGCUGCGGGGGUAGGAAUUGGCCCUCAUUUCGGUUUCUGUGAUGGUGCGGAGCGCGCGCGCCCAGGGACUCCUGUUGCCUCCCAGCCAAGGGCUUCUGAUCUCCUCAUCUCACUCUCGCGCGGCCCUGGCUACUACCCGGAGAAGGUGGACCUAAAGCAAAGGAUCCUUUGUUUGGUCUCACUUUGAUGGGAAGAAGGUGGCUUGGGCUGUGAGAGGACGUGAUGAUGUGGCCUGUGAUGCUGGAUUCAUCAUUUGUUGGCAGCCCUUGGUGGGAAGAGGAUGGCUUGGGCUCUGAGAGGAAGUGGAGAUGUGGCCUGUGGUUCUGCUGUUUCUCAUUCUCUUUGUCAUAUCUGCCUGAUUAUCAUAGACAACAUGUGGGAUAUGCUGUUUCAAAAGUUGCCAUUCAAAAAAUUUGAAGUUUAGGAUAUUUCCUUCCUCCAGAAGUACUUUCAUUAACUUGGUAACCGUAAGUCCAGAAUUGCUUAUUUCCAUUUUAGGAGUUAAGAUAUUUGGGGCCAUGCAGAAGCCUUGAGGCUGGGCUGCAGUGGGUCUGAAGAUGGUUUCCUCCAGGUCACCCUUCCUCUGAGGGUCCAGUCCUUCAGGAUCACUCCCCAAAGGGCAGGGAAUUUAUCCCGGUCCCUCCUUUUGGCAGGGCCUGGAAUUCAAUAUCUUCUUGCUUUACUCCAGGAAGCUAUCCAAACCUGCAUGAGUCACUAGGGGAAGUGUCCCAUUCUUGAUCAAAAUACUGCUGACAUCAUCGCCAUACCACUCUAUCACAACUAGGAAGCCAUCAAGUGAGGCUAGGAAACCACCAUAAUCAGUAUCUCACCACAAUAGCCACAGCUCUACUGCUGGCUCUGGAAUCACACUGUGCCUGUAAGCAUCUGUACCCUCAGAGUGGAUGCCACAGGCCCUGCUCUCAACCUUACCAAGCCAGUGACUACAGCCCAGAACCUCUGUUAAUGGUGCAGCAAAGAAACCACAUGUCUUCACAACCAGUGUGGCAUCAGAAAAAACAGAUGCCUGGCCUCUGCUCCAGUUCUGCCACAUUUGAUUGACAGAAUCAAAACACCUCCAGGAGUUAGGUUGCAAAGGAGUCUGGGAAAUGCAGCAUUUAGCUUUUGUGAUUUCUGUGGUAUAGAAGGUAGAAGAAAGAAGAAACUGGAUGUCCUGCUCUUGUUUCCCCUGUCCACCCUUCAGUUGAAAUGCAAUUUUGUUACAGUUUGAAAACCUGCAAAAAUAAUGUAUAUCUUGCUUAUUGACUUUUGAUUAUACUAGGUACAGUAUAUCUAUAUACCUUUACCUGUAUAUCUCCAUACACAGUUACCAAAAAGGCAGCAAGAUCAGUAGUGAUUUGAAGCAUGGGUUCCAGAUUCAGCUGGUGUUCAAAUCUGUGUUUGUAUGUGAUGUGAGUACCUAUGUUUUCUCAACCUCUCUCCCAGAUAUUUUAUUUCCCUAUCUCUAAAGUAAGUGGAAGGACAAUCUACCUUGAAAUAGUGUUGUCAUGCUCAAAUAAAAUAAUACAUGCAAUCAUCUAAGUGUAGUGCCUAGCUCAUGAUUCCAUGAAGUAAACUGCAGUUCUUUUGUUAUGAGUAGGAGAAGAUCGAGGUGGUAAAAUGAACUGAUAUCAUCUUGACAAGUCACUUAAUUUUCUUUAGGUCAUUAUGUUGUGGUCUUUCAGAUAAGGAAGUUGUCCUCAACAAUCU
ensembl:lincRNA